rnacentral:pre_miRNA from 1 species
ACAGGGGAGCAAAUGGUAUGCAAGAACUUUCAAAAUUUUCCUCUGCUCACACAAGAUCCAUGCCCAAUGGCACGCUUUAUAUAAUUCGAGCUCGUGGUCUCGUUAAUAACUAAAGACCGACCAAUUAUUUGGAAAACGAAAUGCUUGAAGCCAUUGUGAAGAAAAAUUUCAAAGUCCUUGCAUACUAUUUUCUCACCAGU